rnacentral:rRNA from 1 species
GACUCUCGGAAACAGAUAUCUAGGCUCUUGCAUCGAUGAAGAAAGUAGCGAAAUGCGAUACUUGGUGUGACUUGCAGAAUCCCAAGAACCAUCGAGUCUUUGAACGCAAGUUGCGCCCAAUGCCAUUAGGUUGGGGGCACAUCUGCCUGGGUGUCA